rnacentral:rRNA from 1 species
AACGUAGGUUCCGAGCGUUAUCCGGAUUUACUGGGCGUAAAGCGCGUUCAGGCGGUUCGGCAAGUCGGGCCUGAAAUCUCCGGGCUUAACUCGGAAAGGUCAACUGAUACUGCGGGGCUAGAGUGCGGAAGGGGCAACUGGAAUUCUCGGUGUAGCGGUGAAAUGCGUAGAUAUCGAGAGGAACACCUGCGGCGAAGGCGGGUUGCUGGGCCGACACUGACGCUGAUGCGCGAAAGCCAGGGGAGCGAACGGG